rnacentral:rRNA from 1 species
UGGGGAAUCUUCGGCAAUGGGGGCAACCCUGAUCCAGCCAUGCCGCGUGCGUGAAGAAGGCCUUAGGGUUGUAAAGCGCUUUCGGCGGGGAAGAUGAUGACGGUACCCGCAGAAGAAGCCCCGGCUAACUCCGUGCCAGCAGCCGCGGUAAUACGGAGGGGGCAAGCGUUGUUCGGAAUUACUGGGCGUAAAGAGCGCGUAGGCGGCAAGAUUAGUCAGGCGUGAAAGCCCCGGGCUCAACCUGGGAGGUGCGUUUGAGACGGUUUUGCUGGAGUCCGGGAGGGGAUGGCGGAAUUCCCAGUGUAGAGGUGAAAUUCGUAGAUAUUGGGAAGAACACCGGUGGCGAAGGCGG